UACGUAGGGGGCAAGCGUUAUCCGGAUUUACUGGGUGUAAAGGGAGCGCAGACGGAACUGCAAGUCUGAUGUGAAAGCCCGGGGCUCAACCGCGGGAAUGCAUCGGAUACUGUGGAUCUGGAGUGCCGGAGGGGCAAGCGGAAUUCCUGGUGUAGCGGUGAAAUGCGUAGAUAUCAGGAGGAACACCGGCGGCGAAGGCGGCUUGCUGGACGGCAACUGACGUUGAGGCUCGAAAGCGUGGGGAGCAAACAGGAUUAGAUACCCUGGUA
rnacentral:rRNA from 1 species